UACGUAGGGUGCAAGCGUUGUCCGGAAUUAUUGGGCGUAAAGAGCUCGUAGGCGGUCUGUCGCGUCUGCUGUGAAAACUCGAGGCUCAACCUCGAGACGUCGGCGGAAACCAUCUGGCUAGAGUCCGGAAGAGGAGAGUGGAAUUCCUGGUGUAGCGGUGAAAUGCGCAGAUAUCAAGAGGAACACCUGAGGUGAAGACGGGUUGCUGGGCUGACACUGACGCUGAUGCGCGAAAGCCAGGGGAGCGAACGGG
rnacentral:rRNA from 1 species